GGCGGCAGGCCUAAUACAUGCAAGUCGAACGGACCCUUCGGGGUUAGUGGCGGACGGGUGAGUAACACGUGGGAACGUGCCUUUUGGUUCGGAACAACUCAGGGAAACUUGAGCUAAUACCGAAUGUGCCCUUCGGGGGAAAGAUUUAUCGCCAUUAGAGCGGCCCGCGUCUGAUUAGCUAGUUGGUGGGGUAAAGGCCUACCAAGGCUACGAUCAGUAGCUGGUCUGAGAGGAUGAUCAGCCACACUGGGACUGAGACACGGCCCAGACUCCUACGGGAGGCAGCAGUAGGGAAUCUUGCGCAAUGGGCGAAAGCCUGACGCAGCCAUGCCGCGUGAAUGAUGAAGGUCUUAGGAUUGUAAAAUUCUUUCAGCGGGGACGAUAAUGACGGUACCCGCAGAAGAAGCCCCGGCUAACUUCGUGCCAGCAGCCGCGGUAAUACGAAGGGGGCUAGCGUUGCUCGGAAUUACUGGGCGU
rnacentral:rRNA from 1 species